CAAUAGCGUAUAUUAAAGUUGUUGCAGUUAAAAAGCUCGUAGUUGGAUUUCUGGCAGGAGCGACCGGUCACACACUCUGUGUGUGAACUUGUGUUGUCUCUGGCCAUCCUUGGGGAGAUCCUGUUUGGCAUUAAGUUGUCGGGCAGGGGACAUCCAUCGUUUACUGUGAAAAAAUUAGAGUGUUUAAAGCAGGCUUAUGCCGUUGAAUAUAUUAGCAUGGAAUAAUAAGAUAGGACUUCGGAACUAUUUUGUUGGUUUGCGUUACGAAGUAAUGAUUAAUAGGGACAGUUGGGGGUAUUCGUAUUUCGUUGUCAGAGGUGAAAUUCUUGGAUUUCCGAAAGACGAACUACUGCGAAAGCAUUUACCAAGGAUGUUUNCAUUA
rnacentral:rRNA from 1 species